UGUCGACAUAACACCCGGUUCAUGAUGGGCAGCCCAGGUCACCUGGUGGCCCAUGGCCAAGCAUUCAGUUCUCACCACGCCCAGUAGCAGGCCAAGAAUUAUCUCUCAAAAAGAAAGUAGCUAGGUAGAAAGGAUGGCUGGGCUUUGUCCCUAACCCUAAGGGCCUCCGCUGUGACUCAGCUAUGGGACCUGCCAGAGGUUCCACACAGUGUCCCACUGACACCUCAAGCACUGUCAGGUCUGCUGAGUCACGUGGCCUGAGUGGAGGAGCAGCUGGACCCGUGGCAGGGCCUUCUUAAGAGGGUUCAGAUGAGCAACUCAUCCCUCACCUUGGAAGGGGCAUCUCAGCACACCCCACACCACUGACCCUUGGAUGUCUCACUGGUAGACGUUUUCCCCAUGCUAAUUCUUGCUCACUAGGUCCCAGCAGCAUACUGGACCAAGAAGAAGAUGUAUCUUUCACCCACAAACACAGCAGAGACAGCACAAGAAACCCAGUCUCUGAUGGCAUCCUUGAGACACAGAAUCAAACCACCCUGAAGUCAAGCCUGCUUUCCCACUGUCUUCACAAGGACCUCUGGAAAAUCAGAACUGUUCACCUGGAAAGCAGCUGUGACACAUGAAACCAAAGCAAUCGUAUGACACGUGAACAGUAAGCAGCAGUUCUCUUCCACAAGAUGGUGGGCCAGAGAGCCUGGAAAAACGCCCCCUCUACAGAGUAGCCAGAAAGGCUGAGUGAGCUAAUAUGUCACUAGUAACCUUUAACAUUGCAUCAGACUUUGCAAGAAAAUUUGGGAAACCUCAUCCAUGAAAGUGAAGUGGCAGCACAGGGUGAGAGCCGUGAGAUGUUGGGCCUCUGGAAUCCUCUGUGUGUACCCAUCCCACUGAAGGGUGGCAGCCAGUAACUUGAACUUGUCUCUAGUCUUUGCUCCCAAUGAAAGAGGAAUCUUUGCUCUUCUGAGCAUGUAUGACUACAAGCAAGCCUUCUUGUGAGAAUUUAGGGUUUGAACCCAAAUUCUGACUGUCUUCUAUGGUCAGAAAAGCUUCUAGCCAAGAAUUCAAUCUAAAGUGGUCCUAAAAUAAAUAUAACUGAUUCUGUGAUCCUAGAUUAGCCAUGCCGCAGGCACUUGGUAGAAACAAACUCCAACCCUUUCUAGGGGAAUGAAUGCCCAUCCACCCAAGACACAGUGUCCCCAGGUCACCAACAAAAUGAGCUCAAAAAUUUAAAAAGCCAAGAACAACAACAGCUGUAGAAUCAGACCUCAGAUAUUGGCAUGAUUAGACACAGAUGAGAAAAUAAGAAAGUUUAUUGUGUAAAAAAAAGCGGGGGGCGGGGGGAAUCUAAAAAUAAAAAUGAAGCAAGAAUUGUUUCAAAUCACCCGGGAGAACUGAAGAGAUAAAAACUAAAGGGACCUUCUAGAAACAAAAUAAUAUAAACUUUUAAUAGGGGAAGAGGGAAUCUGGGAGGUAGAAUACCUACCUGAAGAAGUUAUCUGAAAUUCCUACAGGAAGAAAAGCUAUUUAAAAAAUAUGAAAAAGAACCUAAGUGGUGUGGAGACUAAAUGGAAAGUUCUGAAGAAGUCUAACUAGACUUCCAAAGUGGUCAUAGAGUAAGGAAGAAUCAAUGCUUUAGGCAGUAUGGGUUGCAGAUUAUCUACAAUUGAUACAGAUCACAAGUUCUUAGGUUUUUGAAGCACAAUGAAUUCCAAUCAGAAAAAAAGAGGAACCCAUAGUUAAGAAAAUUGCAGAAUCCCUCAGAUAAAGAAAAAGAUCUAGGAACCGGGGAUGUGGCUCGGUGGUUGAGACUACGCCCUGGGUCCAAUCCUCGGCACUGGAAUAAAAAAAAAGAAAGAAGAAGAC
rnacentral:lncRNA from 1 species